rnacentral:lncRNA from 1 species
UCAAAAGUAUGAUGAAUAAAACUCAGUGGCCCUGAGAAUGUGUCAGAGAUGACACAGUGGCAGGCUGAGCCUGAAUGACCAGAGACCUAGUGAUGUCCGUUUGCUCUCAUUCCUCUGCUUUGCCGUGACAGGGCCCACGCUAGCCUGGGAGGAGAUGAAACACCACGUGUGGGAGAGCUAGGUGUCCCAGCCACCACCAGCCUGUGCCCAGCCUUCCUGAGAGCUGAUGGCAGAUACAUGAGCCUGGCCUUGAUUGGCAGAACUACCCAGGAGCCAAAGGACUCUGAUGAAAUGGAGCAAGAAGAGGAACUCUGGGAAGGGACACCAACCAAUUGGACACAGAGCAAACAACUCAGCUUGGAUGUUUCUGAUGUGUUCUGUUGAGGAAGGUGACAACAGCGUGACUCUGCUUUGAAGAUUUCUCUGUAGGAAGAGGUUCCCAUUCUGCCCUCGGGGUGGCACCUUAAAGCCAUAUUUGCCCACUGCUUCUAACACUUGUCCCAGUGGGAAGGUCCUGCCCCGAGUCAGAACCCGAGUCUCCUCCUCCCCACUGAUGCCAGCUACCUGGGAACCGUACAUCUGAGGAUUAAAGGCCUGGUUUUUGGAGCAGCAAUUUCAGCCUGCUUGAGCAGAUAUCCACGUGUCUGAAAAGGCAGGCAUUAUUAUUUGUUGAGGAAUCUGGACCCUUUUCUUGACUGUGCCACCUCCGUCGCUUGCAGCCUGCAAAGCGAGUCCACGGAGCUCAUUUUCUCUAUCCGCUGGGUUGAGUCCUCUAACCGGUCCAUUCAUUAGGGCAGAGCAAGGAAACACAUACUUCAUUUACUCUGUGGCCACUGCCUUAUUUCCCCUCUUUUGGUUCGUAGAGAACCAAUAAACCUUCCAUCUUCAGAUUUUCAGAGGAGUGCUUUCCGUUGAGCUGAUUCUCGAAUGCUCUUAAAUGGAAAAAAAGAACAGAAAACAAGCUGCCAUCUGGGUGAUUUGCAAGCC